UACAGAGGUCUCAAGCGUUGUUCGGAUUCAUUGGGCGUAAAGGGUGUGUAGGUGGCGCGCUAAGUCGGGGUGUGAAAUUUCGGAGCUUAACUCCGAAACUGCAUUCGAUACUGCGGUGCUUGAGGACUGGAGAGGAGACUGGAAUUUACGGUGUAGCAGUGAAAUGCGUAGAGAUCGUAAGGAAGACCAGUGGCGAAGGCGGGUCUCUGGACAGUUCCUGACACUGAGGCACGAAGGCCAGGGGAGCAAACGGG
rnacentral:rRNA from 1 species